UUAUCAUAUUGCGAUUUAAUACAUGUUUGAUUACAUGAGCGAGUUUAAUACCUGGGUCGAUUUUAUUUUUCUUUCAGGUCAUUGCCCGUUGUUGUUCUAUCUUUAUUGCAAACUUAAAGUUUUUGUGGUUUGAUGAAGCGACUCUGAGUUUUUAGUUAUUUUGUUGAGAAUUGCAGUUCAAUGUUUGGACCACUCGAUAGAUUUGAAAGGCCUUAGAACAGGUUUGAACGGUUGCAGGCAGAGCAUAUACAACAAUCUGAGUGGAUAUAACUGCGUCAAUAAAUAGGGGUUGAAGGUGAAGCUUUCGGUGGUUCUGACCUGGCGAUUUAGGGCUCCGCCACCCAAGGCGGCGGCAAUGGUGGUUCGAGAUGUCAAAACAGUGGUGAAUAGCGGCGGUUAAGGUUCUUACUCGAGUAAAUCCAUAACUGUUAUAUUAUGAUGUUUGAGGCUUGGUUGUCGUUACGGAGCUCCGGUGAUUCGAAAUAAACCAGAUGCUGCUCACACCAAUGGCGUCCAUGAUUACCUUUGUGUACAGAAGAAUCCUCUUGCUUUAGCUUUAUAACCUGCAACAAACAAAUGUAUCUCAACUUCUGAGAAUGCAAGUGAUAUUCUCCACUAUGCACCACCUUGGAACUAUAAUCCCUAAGGACAGGAAAUAAGAAACCUGUGACCAUAGAGGUCGCAUUGGAGGAGCAUCUUGAAAUGGUUUAAUAAUAAGCUUUCAUACUCCUGAAUCUGUAUCCUUGGAAACUAGAGGUGGAAUAUAGGACCAGUAGCCUAAAUGACAAGAAGUCAAGAAUACUCUGACCAAUGAAAGCAUCCUUAUUUCCUGCAAGUGAUUAAAGCUCCCAAAAAUCAUUCAGUUCACAGUUCUGGUUGGAGAUGUUUUAAUGUUAGGAUCACUAUCACCUCUUAUUCCACCUGAAAUUGCUUCUCAUGGCCCUAAAGCCUAAAGGUGUUAAUCUGUGUGAUGGGAUAUUAGGAAAAUAUAUUUUAGUAGCCUGAAAAUGUGAGAAAUAUAUCAAAAUACCGACUUUAAUGCAUAUGGAGAAAUGAGGAUUCAUGAUUUCUGUUGGCUUAUCAAUCCAUUUUUUCUAAUUUAAGAU